GACGGAGGAUGCAAGUGUUAUCCGGAAUCACUGGGCGUAAAGCGUCUGUAGGUGGUUCGAAAAGUCCACUGUUAAAAAUUGAAGCUUAACUUCAAAGAUGCCGUGGAAACUUUCAAACUAGAGUGUGGUAGGGGUAGAGGGAAUUUCCAGUGGAGCGGUGAAAUGCGUAGAUAUUGGAAAGACCACCGAUGGCGAAGGCACUCUACUGGGCCAUUACUAACACUCAGAGACGAAAGCUAGGGUAGCAAAUGGG
rnacentral:rRNA from 1 species